rnacentral:sRNA from 14 species
UUGGAGAUUGUGGAGAUGGGAAUUUUAUUUAUCCCUAGAGUAGGUGCUGUGCAGAACUGCAGUAGUGCACAAAUGUCCUGUGUUAUUCUGCUGCUGCACUCUACCAAUGCCCUUCACAGGCAGCAGCCUCUGGGGUGAGGAGCUCCUUUCUCUGCACCCCUUCAAACAGUUGGCUGCC